AACCUCUACAAUGCACGCAAGUGUGAUAGGGGAAUCCUAAGUGCUUAUGCUAUGCAUAAGCUUUUUUCAAGGGUAAAAACCUUGAAGAAUAAGUGGUGGGCAAGACUGGUGCCAGCCGCCGCGGUAACACCAGCGCCACAAGUGGGGAUCAUGAUUAUUGGGCCUAAAGCGUUCGUAGCCGGCCUGAGCAAUCUCUUGUGAAAUCGUCCAGCUCAACUGGACGGCGUGCAGGAGACACUGCCGGGCUUGGGACUGGGAGGGGUCAGAGGAAUGGUAAGGGGAGCAGUAAAAUGCGAUAAUCCUUAUUGGACCACCGAUGGCGAAGGCAUCUGACCAGAACAGAUCCGACGGUCAGGAACGAAAGCUGGGGGAGCGAUCCGG
rnacentral:rRNA from 1 species